AACGAACGCUGGCGGCAUGCCUAACACAUGCAAGUCGAACGAGACCUUCGGGUCUAGUGGCGCACGGGUGCGUAACGCGUGGGAACCUGCCCUUAGGUUCGGAAUAACUCCCCGAAAGGGGUGCUAAUACCGGAUAAUGUCUUCGGACCAAGGAUUUAUCGCCUUUGGAUGGGCCCGCGUUGGAUUAGCUAGUUGGUAGGGUAAAAGCCUACCAAGGCGACGAUCCAUAGCUGGUCUGAGAGGAUGAUCAGCCACACUGGGACUGAGACACGGCCCAGACUCCUACGGGAGGCAGCAGUGGGGAAUAUUGGACAAUGGGCGAAAGCAUGAUCCAGCAAUGCCGCGUGAGUGAUGAAGGCCUUAGGGUUGUAAAGCUCUUUUACCCGGGAUGAUAAUGACAGUACCGGGAGAAUAAGCUCCGGCUAACUCCGUG
rnacentral:rRNA from 1 species